UACGUACAUACAUACUAAGGCAGCUACGGAGUACUUAGAGUGCGAGGACGAGCUGUGGAUUCGUGAUCACGGUUCACCUAAAAUACCAGAGUCAUUCUGCUUCCUCAUUGAUAUACCCUUACUGUUCUACACGAAUUCCACGAUCGACAACUACAGCAUCUGUAUGGAAUUUUGAAACGUUGAGUCAGAAAGCAGUACCAGGUUUGACUGCUUCUUCACGGGUCUACGAGCAGAAUCGCCGUUGAGAGCGUCUCUGCUGAAUGAGGAGCCUGCAGCUGGGUUGUUGGACGAACCUGCCUUGAUUCUCAGUCAUUCUUUCUGUUACAACAGGUUCUUCGGUUAUUUUUGGAGUUGGCUCCAUGGAACGAUCUCUCUUCCCCUUCGUUAAGCAAUAAUUACUGGCACCUUCGUUGCGAACGCACACGAGCGCACACUGGGCCUUUGGAUGGAGGUGUGAAGCAUACUGUUAGUCUAAGCAAAGGAAACUAACGGAUUUCAUUGCCCAUUUGAUGGACUGGAGUCGACUCCGGAACCGAAGCAGGCUUUUUGUGGUUUAAUUUCUGGCUUUUGCAUUAUAUUCUUCCUAUUUAAAUUUCUGUAUUUUAAGACAGCAAGUGCAGCACUCAGACGAUAGUUUGA